CCUACGGGUGGCAGCAGUGGGGAAUAUUGCACAAUGGGGGAAACCCUGAUGCAGCGACGCCGCGUGAAUGAAGAAGUAUUUCGGUAUGUAAACCUCUAUCAGCAGGGAAGAAAAUGACGGUACCUGACUAAGAAGCCCCGGCUAACUACGUGCCAGCAGCCGCGGUAAUACGUAGGGGGCAAGCGUUUUCCGGAUUUACUGGGUGUAAAGGGAGCGUAGACGGGAUCGCAAGUCUGGAGUGAAAUCCCAUGGCUUAACCAUGGAACUGCUUUGGAAACUGUGGAGCGGGAGUGCAGGAGAGGUAAGAGGAAUUCCUAGUGUAGCGGUGAAAUGAGUAGAUAGUAGGAGGAACAACAGUGGCGAAGGCGGCUUACUGGACUGUAACUGACGUUGAGGCUCGAAAGCGUGGGGAGCAAACAGGAUGAGAUACCCCUGUAGUC
rnacentral:rRNA from 1 species